GCGGGUAUAGUUUAGUGGUAAAACCCUAGCCUUACAAGCUAACGAUGCGGGUUCGAUUCCCGCUACCCGCU
rnacentral:tRNA from 1 species